UACGUAGGGUCCGAGCGUUGUCCGGAAUUAUUGGGCGUAAAGGGCUCGUAGGCGGUUUGUCGCGUCUGCUGUGAAAACUCGGGGCUUAACUCCGGGCCUGCAGUGGGUACGGGCAGACUAGAGUGCGGUAGGGGAGACUGGAAUUCCUGGUGUAGCGGUGAAAUGCGCAGAUAUCAGGAGGAACACCCGUGGCGAAGGCGGCUCUCUGGGACGGUACUGACGCUGAGACGCGAAAGCGUGGGGAGCGAACAGG
rnacentral:rRNA from 1 species